AGCAUAAUAAAAUAAUUUUUUGGGAAUUUUCAAGAAUUUUUAUGUAAUAUGUACUUCUUGCAAAUUGAAUGCAUUAUUAUUUGACAUUCUAUAUCGCUGCACAUGAUUGAAUGAUAUAAUUGAGUUGAUAUUUACAUGAAAUUAAUGUGUACAUUGUUACAUGAAAUUUAAUAAAACAUGAUUGUUAAAAAGUCAAUGAAGUCGUUAACAAUAUUGAAAAGCAUUAAAAUAGCUUUGAUUAACUGUAAAAUUCGAAUCGAUAAUUUAGAAUUGACUUAUCUUUUUUUAUUACAUGUACCUGUCUGACACUGGUUGCCUGUAAAUCCUUUGGGACACGUACACUUGCCAGGAGAAGUACACACACCUCUGUUCAAGCAUGGAGAAGGGCAAAUAGCUAAAAGUGUCUUGGGUAGAAAUUGCACAAAUGAGAGAAGACGGGUCGAUUCAUUGCGCAUGGACGCGCAAGGAUCUCGCAUAAUUGGGCGACGAGAGGUGAUUCCACGCGGUGAAACCACUUCGUCAUCGUUGGACUCGCAAGAAAAUUGCAUCUCGGCCUGUCCCUGUCAUGUACGUUGAAACGCGACACGACAUUUACUGUCGCAACAUCGACCACUUGCUUCUCAUCGUGAGACGUUUGCUUUUCUUGCCCUGUGCGCCAUUUUGUUCAUGGAGAACACAUGCCAAGGGCGUGAAGGAAUCGUACGAACAUAGGUUACUUAUUGAUAUAUGUUAAAAUUGUCUUGAAGUGAUAAGAAGUCUUAAUUCAGAAAUGAAUAUCUUGACUACAUAUUAAUUUUCGCUUUUUAAUGGCGAUAAAUUAUGCAUUAUUUAAUUACAGAAAGAAGUAUGCAGAACAAAAUGAGGUCUUUAACAAGGACAAGGAUAAAUCGUCUAUUAAAGAUGAGUGCCUUAUUUGCCUACAAAUUAUCUGUGCCUGUAAAGAUUAAAGGGAUUAGCGCGACAAGUGAUUCAGAUUAGUGAAUCGUGUGGGUUCCGUCAGACAGGUAGUGUGUCUGACAUUAUCUCAUUCCCCUUGAAUCUAUUUCAUGGGUAGUAAUAGAAUAGAAUUUGCACUUGACAUAUAUUAUUUCUGUUAAAAAUUUCUUCGAAGAAUCCAUGAAAUUCAUAUAUG